UACGUAGGGCGCAAGCGUUGUCCGGAAUUAUUGGGCGUAAAGAGCUCGUAGGCGGUUUGUCGCGUCUGUCGUGAGAGCUUGGGGCUUAACCCCAAGUCUGCGGUGGAUACGGGCAGACUAGAGGCAGGUAGGGGAGAACGGAAUUCCCGGUGUAGCGGUGAAAUGCGCAGAUAUCGGGAGGAACACCGGUGGCGAAGGCGGUUCUCUGGGCCUGUACUGACGCUGAGGAGCGAAAGCGUGGGGAGCGAACAGG
rnacentral:rRNA from 1 species